rnacentral:rRNA from 1 species
GAUGAACGCUGGCGGCGUGCCUAAUACAUGCAAGUCGAGCGAACAGAUGAGGAGCUUGCUCCUCUGACGUUAGCGGCGGACGGGUGAGUAACACGUGGAUAACCUACCUAUAAGACUGGGAUAACUUCGGGAAACCGAAGCUAAUACCGGAUAAUAUAUUGAACCGCAUGGUUCAAUAGUGAAAGACGGUUUUGCUGUCACUUAUAGAUGGAUCCGCGCCGCAUUAGCUAGUUGGUAAGGUAACGGCUUACCAAGGCAACGAUGCGUAGCCGACCUGAGAGGGUGAUCGGCCACACUGGAGCUGAGACACGGUCCAGACUCCUACGGGAGGCAGCAGUAGGGAAUCUUCCGCAAUGGGCGAAAGCCUGACGGAGCAACGCCGCGUGAGUGAUGAAGGUCUUCGGAUCGUAAAACUCUGUUAUUAGGGAAGAACAAAUGUGUAAGUAACUAUGCACGUCUUGACGGUACCUAAUCAGAAAGCCACGGCUAACUACGUG